AAACGUAGGAGGCGAGCGUUAUCCGGAUUCACUGGGCGUAAAGCGCGUGCAGGUGGCUUGGUAAGUUAGGCGUGAAAUCUCCCGGCUCAACUGGGAUAGGUCGUCUAAUACUACCGGGCUAGAGAACAGAAGAGGAAGAUGGAAUUCGCGGUGUAGUGGUGAAAUGCGUAGAUAUCGGGAGGAACACCAGUGGCGAAGGCGAUCUUCUGGUCUGUUUCUGACACUCAGACGCGACAGCUAGGGUAGUAAACGGGA
rnacentral:rRNA from 1 species